rnacentral:rRNA from 1 species
AUUGAACGCUGGCGGCAGGCCUAACACAUGCAAGUCGAGCGGACGAAGGGAGCUUGCUCCUGGCUUCAGCGGCGGACGGGUGAGUAAUGCCUAGGAAUCUGCCUGGUCGUGGGGGAUAACGUCCGGAAACGGGCGCUAAUACCGCAUACGUCCUGAGGGUGAAAGGGGGGGAUCUUUGGACCUCACGCUAUUAGAUGAGCCUAGGUCGGAUUAGCUAGUUGGUGGGGUAAGGGCGUACCAAGGCGACGAUCCGUAACUGCUCUGAGAGGAUGAUCAGACACACUGGAACUGAGACACGGUCCAGACUCCUACGGGAGGCAGCAGUGGGGAAUAUUGGACAAAGGGCGAAAGCCUGACCCAGCCAUGCCGCGUGUGUGAAGAAGGUCUUCGGAUCGUAAAGCACUGUAAGUUGGGAGGAAGGGCAGUAAGUUAAUACCUUGCUGUUUUGACGGUACCAACAGAAUAAGCACCGGCUAACUUCGUG